rnacentral:rRNA from 1 species
CAAGAGGGCAUCUUCUUGUUUUUAAAGACCUAGCAAUAGGUAUGCUUAGGGAGGAGCUUGCGUCACAUUAGUUAGUUGGUGGGGUAAAGGCCUACCAAGACUAUGAUGUGUAGCCGGGCUGAGAGGUUGAACGGCCACAUUGGGACUGAGACACGGCCCAAACUCCUACGGGAGGCAGCAGUAGGGAAUUUUCGGCAAUGGAGGAAACUCUGACCGAGCAACGCCGCGUGAACGAUGAAGUAUUUCGGUACGUAAAGUUCUUUUAUUAGGGAAGAAUAAAUGAUGGAAAAAUCAUUCUGACGGUACCUAAUGAAUAAGCCCCGGCUAACUAUGUGCCAGCAGCCGCGGUAAUACAUAGGGGGCAAGCGUUAUCCGGAAUUAUUGGGCGUAAAGGGUGCGUAGGCGGUUAAAUAAGUUUAUGGUCUAAGUGCAAUGCUCAACAUUGUGAUGCUAUAAAAACUGUUUAGCUAGAGUAAGAUAGAGGCAAGUGGAAUUCCAUGUGUAGUGGUAAAAUGCGUAAAUAUAUGGAGGAACACCAGUAGCGAAGGCGGCUUGCUGGGUCUUUACUGACGCUGAGGCACGAAAGCGUGGGGAGCAAACAGGAUUAGAUACCCUGGUAGUCCACGCCGUAAACGAUGAGUACUAAACGUUGGGUAAAACCAGUGUUGAAGUUAACACAUUAAGUACUCCGCCUGAGUAGUACGUACGCAAGUAUGAAACUUAAAGGAAUUGACGGGACUCCGCACAAGCGGUGGAUCAUGUUGUUUAAUUCGAAGGUACCCGAAAAACCUCACCAGGUCUUGACAUGCUUCUGCAAAGCUGUAGAAACACAGUGGAGGUUAUCAGUUGCACAGGUGGUGCAUGGUUGUCGUCAGCUCGUGUCGUGAGAUGUUGGGUUAAGUCCCGCAACGAGCGCAACCCUUAUUGUUAGUUACCAGCACGUAAUGGUGGGGACUUUAGCAAGACUGCCAGUGAUAAAUUGGAGGAAGGUGGGGACGACGUCAAAUCAUCAUGCCCCUUAUGACCUGGGCUACAAACGUGAUACAAUGGCUGUUACAAAGAGUAGCUGAAGCGCAAGUUUUUGGCGAAUCUCAAAAAAACAGUCUCAGUUCGGAUUGAAGUCUGCAACUCGACUUCAUGAAGUUGGAAUCGCUAGUAAUCGCGAAUCAGCAUGUCGC